rnacentral:rRNA from 1 species
CCUACGGGGGGCAGCAGUGGGGAAUAUUGGACAAUGGGGGGAACCCUGAUCCAGCCAUGCCGCGUGUGUGAAGAAGGCCCUCGGGUUGUAAAGCACUUUCAGUGAGGAAGAACGCCUGGUGGUUAAUACCCAUCAGGAAAGACAUCACUCACAGAAGAAGCACCGGCUAACUCCGUGCCAGCAGCCGCGGUAAUACGGAGGGUGCGAGCGUUAAUCGGAAUUACUGGGCGUAAAGCGCGCGUAGGUGGCUUGAUAAGCCGGUUGUGAAAGCCCCGGGCUCAACCUGGGAACGGCAUCCGGAACUGUCAAGCUAGAGGGCAGGAGAGGAAGGUAGAGGGCCCGGUGUAGCGGUGAAAUGCGUAGAGAUCGGGAGGAAGGCCAGUGGCGAAGGCGGCCUUCUGGACUGACACUGACACUGAGGUGCGAAAGCGUGGGUAGCAAACAGGAUUAGAUACCCCUGUAGUC